UGCCCCAUAGUUCAGUGGUUAGAACGCCACUUAAUCAUUGGUUUGUACUGAUUCUGUGGAGGUCCCCCGUUCGAUUCGGGGUGGGGCAA